CCACAGAGUCAUGUGUGGAAGAGUGCAAAAGGUCUGUUUGUGUGCUAGAGAUUCGAAGAGUCCAGUGGAAAGUGUGAAGUCCAUUGUACUGUGCAUGAGUCUGUUAUCAGAAGGCAAAAGGAUCUUUAAUAGAAGGCUGAAGAGUCCGUGCUGGAAACCAGGAGACAACGUCCAAGAUGAAGGUGAACACUGGAGCCCCUCUGAAGAAACAAAAAAAGUGAGAGUUUCUCAUGCACAGAAUGUGCAUUAGUGGUGAUGGAAUUUCUUCUAGGAGACAGAGAAACCCACAGUAAUGGAUUAAAAGAGUGCAAUUUUGAAGAAAAGAGGGAAGAUGGGAGAAGUGAAUAGUCAGCUAUAUUCAUGGUGUUGAAGAAAGAAUUUGGUUUGCUGGGAUACAGCCUGUGAUAACAGAACAAGGCCUGGAAAGAAACAGGUUAUGUCUGGCUGGAGAGUGAUUGGCAUUAACAAGGAAUAUUACCACAUAGUAGCAAAAAAAAAUAAUAAUACAAGGAAGAGCCAAUGAAGAUUAUGCAAUCUGAAAGAGAGGAAAAGAGACUGAACAAAACAAAGAGAUCAUCAGAGAACUGAGGGAAAGUUUCAAGAAGUAAAAUACGUUAAGAUCUGGCCAUGGAGUUCAAGCUGGCCUUGGACUGACUGUAUAAUCAUAGGCUGGCCUCCAACUCACAGCAAUCCUCCUGUCUCAGCCUCUCAAGCACUGGAUUACAGGAAUGUGCCACCAUGCUCAGCGAAUUUUCUGUUUUUAUCCAAGUUUUCAGUUUGAUUUAUUUUAUCUACCUCCUCAACAUUGCUUUCUAACUCUUUUUUCUCUUAUAUUAAGCUCUUUUCUUUCCCUCAUUGGUUCUUUUUUUCUUUUUUAAAUUAGCAUCACUGAUGUUUCCUGUAGAUUCAUUUUUUUUAAGUCUUUUAUUUGUUUUUCAUUCAGUUUGUUUUCUAUUCCUUGCAUGUUUUCUGUUUUUCCCAAAUUGUUGUUUUUAUUUUCUUCUCUUAUAUAACUUUUUUACAAUGUUUAAUGAGCUUUCAUUAUAUGCUUAGAUUUUAAAUGUAGGCCACUAAAAAAGCAUGCACAUGUUUGUACAACUUGGUAUGAAUAAAUAUGUUACUGUGGAAAAAAUCUAGCUGGCUGAUGCCUCAGAUCAUCCCUGAUACAGGAAACUAGAAUUAUUUUUCUUUUCUCUUUGGUCUGGUUAAACUUCUAUAAGGAUUUCUGGUCUUUCUCCUGAAGGUUAAAUGUUUGGCAGCUUAAGAUCCCUGGGUAGUUACCAACCAGGAGCUUUCAAACUACCAUAUUUCCUUUAUGUUUUUUAGUUGAUAUCUUUAAAAUAUUUUUAUUAUUAUUAUAGUGAUG
rnacentral:lncRNA from 1 species